GCGAUAUCAUAGGACACGUGCGAACACAGUCGAUUUUUUCAUAGUUGUACUAAUUGCAAUGCUUCAGUGACAGCUUACUUCGCACACUAUUAGGAGAAAUAUGGGGGAGUUUACUGUAGCGUAGAAUCUCACGUUACACUACCGCAAACCACGAGUGUAUCGUUUACCGUCUUCUUGCGCGUGUCCCGUUUGUAAUUACACGAAGACUUCUACCUUCUACGAACAUCGUGAGAUAAAAAACGAUCCAUCCAAAAUCGUUAAAAAAUCUUCCAACGUCCCGUUAGUGAAGAAAGACCGAGAAGUAGAAUUUUCGGUAUAUGGUCGCACGUACUCGAAAUCGCUUUCGUAAUCACAGGUUCCUGCGAGGCCAUAAUAAUAAAACAAUAUACGCGGGCUGAGAUAGCGUUACAGAAACAAAACAAGACUGUGAGAGGUCGUAAUAAAUUUGACACGAAGAAAUCAUUUUUCGGUAGACUCAAAUGCAAACAAAAAUAUUUCGAAAAAUUUCUCAGAAUUUAACAAAAAAGAUGUGGAGUUAGUGUCUUAACGAAUAAUCGACACUAUCUCAAUAUUACCAAUAAAACCAGUUUUGUGUUUCGUGGAAAUGGGAGAGAGUCAAAAGAAAGCGUCAGAGUGGAAUUUCGUUUGAAGCGAGGGGUGUAUAUUUGGCCUGCCGGUAGUGAUAGGAUGAUGCAACAGGAUCGACGCAUAGCACUCGUGAAAGUGGAACACACGCGUGCUCGAUAUAUAAAUUACUUCGAAAGGAAGGAAGAUGAGACAGAAAAAAAAAUAUCUAAAAGAACUGCACAAAAAAUAAUAUUUUCAGAAUAAUUAAUCGAUGUACAAUUUACUCACCUCGCUUCAUUUUGUUCGUCAUGUUAUUACUUCCGAUGCCAACCUAUCGGUCGGAUAACAAUAAACUAUUAAUUACGAAAGUUCGUACGCGCUCAUUAAUUCAACGACACACGCGGGAUCACAAAAACUCGUAAGCUCGACGAUUGUGUUCCAUGCAGAGCUCACACCGAACUAACCGCUGCUGACGGUGUACAGAAUUUCAGAAGAAUAACCGACCAAUUGAUGAAGCGUGCACACUAUGCCUUUUUUUUCACGGGGCAAAAAAGUUUCCUGCGAUAUCGGUCAAUCGAAAAGAGAGAAAAGAAUACCUGCUCGCCUGACCAUUGGCGACAAGGGGCGGGUAGCAUCGUUAAAUGCUCGUGUACCCUAAUAGCACUGAUGUUCGAAAGCCAACUAUAAAUUACCGUUUGAAGAUAGAGCUCACCUGACCGACGCCGUCAGCCGAUCGUCUGCCACUUCAAUCAAUGGUUUCGAAUUUGUGCAAAGUAUUCUGCUAUAGGGACGAUUCAGGAAAAUGAAUAUUUUCAUAAAGUGUUCAUCGCGGUCUUUGGAGUAUUCGCACGGGACUUGCUGAUCUAGGCGAGAUUUCUUAGUUACCACAAACGUUUUGGAAUCAGUGGCUUUCAUGACCAAUGUGACCAAUGUCUGAAGAACAUAUUUCGGAGGAACAGAUCUUCGGACAACAAUCAGACAACGGAUCAACAGUGAUGGAUAGCAAGGUCAGACACGGGAGGUUAAUGCGCGAAAGGAAUGGGUGACGGGUUUAAAUUCACAGCCGGAUUUCGAAGAACGAGGAUCGUGAGAAGCAGCUGUGCAAAGGAAAUAAAUAGAAAAUAACGAUGGCGGUUCUAUUAAAAGACGAAUAUUUUUAAUGUCACAUAAAGUGUGAAUUUCAUAUGCGGCAAAACAUAAAAAAUGUUAAAUUAAUUUUAUUAUAAUA